rnacentral:rRNA from 1 species
UACGUAGGCAGCGAGCGUUGUUCGGAGUUACUGGGCGUAAAGCGUGCGUAGGCGGUGGCCCAAGUCUGGUGUGAAAUCUCCCGGCUUAACCGGGAGGGUGCGCCUGAAACUGGGUCGCUCGAGUGCCGGAGAGGCAGGCGGAAUUCCUGGUGUAGCGGUGAAAUGCGUAGAUAUCAGGAGGAACACCCGUGGUGUAGACGGCCUGCUGGACGGAGACUGACGCUGAGGCACGAAAGCGUGGGGAGCAAACAGG